rnacentral:rRNA from 1 species
UACGUAGGGUCCGAGCGUUGUCCGGAAUUAUUGGGCGUAAAGGGCUCGUAGGCGGUUUGUCACGUCGGGCGUGAAAACUCAGGGCUCAACCCUGAGCGUGCUUUCGAUACGGGCAGACUAGAGGUAUGCAGGGGAGAACGGAAUUCCUGGUGUAGCGGUGGAAUGCGCAGAUAUCAGGAGGAACACCGGUGGCGAAGGCGGUUCUCUGGGCAUUACCUGACGCUGAGGAGCGAAAGCAUGGGGAGCGAACAGG